GAAUCCCGUCUUUGACAUGGACUGCCAGGGCUUUGUGAUGCGCUCUCAAAGAGUCGAGUUGUUUGGGAAUGCAGCUCAAAAUGGGUGGUAAAUUCCAUCUAAAGCUAAAUAUUGGCGAGAGACCGAUAGCGAACAAGUACCGUGAGGGAAAGAUGAAAAGAACUUUGGAAAGAGAGUUAAACAGUACGUGAAAUUGCUGAAAGGGAAACGCUUGAAGUCAGUCGCGUCAGUUGGAAAUCAACCUUGCUUUUGCUGGGCGUACUUUCCGUCUGAUGGGUCAGCAUCAAUUUCGAUCGCUGGAUAAAGUUCUUGGGAAUGUGGCAUCCUUGGAUGUGUUAUAGCCCUUGGACACAUGCAGCGGUUGGGAUUGAGGAACUCAGCACGCCGCGAGGCUGGGGCUUUUGUCCACAAUACGUGCUCAGGAUGCUGGCAUAAUGGCUUUAAUCGACCCGUCUUGAAACACGGACCAAGGAGUCUAACAUGCUUGCGAGUGUUUGAGUGGAAAACUCAUGCGCGUAAUGAAAGUGAUAGUUGAGAUCCCCGUCGUGGGGAGCAUCGAUGCCCAGACCAGAGCUUUUGUGACGGAUCUGCGGUAGAGCAUGUAUGUUGGGACCCGAAAGAUGGUGAACUAUGCCUGAAUAGGGUGAAGCCAGAGGAAACUCUGGUGGAGGCUCGUAGCGAUUCUGACGUGCAAAUCGAUCGUCAAAUUUGGGUAUAGGGGCGAAAGACUAAUCGAACCAUCUAGUAGCUGGUUCCUGCC
rnacentral:rRNA from 1 species